rnacentral:lncRNA from 1 species
GUACAUACAGUUAAAAGAUGGAGAAGAUACGACUGGAUGCUUCAGCUUAUUACAGAAACUUGCCACCUGCAGAAAUGCAAAAGGCAAAGGCUGGGUUCAGUGCAAUGGAUAAUACUGGAAGUGGAAAAGUGAGCCUCAAGCAAUACUCGGAAUACUUUAAACAAAGAGGGCUUGUAGAGCUUACUUAUCCCGAUUUGUUCAAAGCGUUGGAUACAAAUGGAGAUGGCAGACUCGAUUUCGAUGAAUUUAUCACUGUCUACUACCUCUGCAUGAACAAUAAACUGAUAUAUUGUGAAGAAUGCGGGGUCUUUCUCUCUGGAUCCUACAUGAGUUGCCUUCAAUGCUUCAAUAAUGGUUCUGGGGAUCCCUAUAACAUUUGUUAUGAUUGUUAUAGCAGAAACAACAUUGAUCAUCAUAAGGAUGCUUACUUUGUCGAUAAUAUAAAACUCCAUUGCUUCGCAGUUAAAGGCUCUGCAGUUAAUGAAGGCUCCGCAGUUAAUGAAGGCUCCGCAGUUAAUGAAGGCUCCGCAGUUAAUGAAGGCUCCGCAGUUAAUGAAGGCUCCGCAGUUAAUGAAGGCUCCGCAGUUAAUGAAGGCUCCGCAGUUAAUGAAGGCUCCGCAGUUAAUGAAGGCUCCGCAGUUAAUGAAGGCUCCGCAGUUAAUGAAGGCUCCGCAGUUAAUAAAGGCUCUGCAGAUAAUAAUGGCUUCACAACUCGAAGCUCCGGUGGUAAGGUAUGUAUAUAUUAUAUAAUAUAAUUCUGAUACUCUUAGAAAUAUCAAACAACAAAUCUUCAUGCAUAUAACAAUUAAUAUCCAUCUUGAUUUUUCAGAUGACUACGAAGGAUAAGCUUACAGCAGCUCUAUUAGGGGUUUCUGUGGUGAAUUUAGGAAUAAAUACUGCAAAGUUUGUGGCAACUAGUAAACCAGAAUUAUGGGAACAAGCAAAACAAGUUUUCGAUGGUCCCCAAAAAAAUACUUCAGGUGCUGCUGAAUCUGCAUUCGAAUUGUCCGAUCAUGGAAGUAAUGCUGUUAAUUCCGCAGCCGACUUGUCUGAUCAUGGAACUAAUAUUGCUGCUAACACUGCAUGGAACUUUUCGGACCAUGGAAGUAAUUUUGCUGCUGUUGCACCCAAUUUUGCGGACCAUGGAAGUAAUGUUGCUGACGUCGCAUCCAAUUUUCCUGACCAUUUAAGCACUGCUGUUGAUAUUGCAUCAAAUUGUACUGUCAUGUAAAAUUUAUACUUUGCAGCCUUCAACGAAGUGUAAAAUAUCUACUUCUUGUUGUUUAAUUUCAUCUUAUAAUAAUAAAGCUUGCUGGUUUGGAUAUAGUUCCCAGGAGAUGCAGAGCUUUUUUCUAUUUGCACAAUACUUUUUCUUAAUAAUAAAUAAUCUCGUUUUGCUGAUAAAAAAAAAUAUAUAUUCCAUUUCAAAUCAUACUGGAGCACAGCAGAACAAAAUUUUAAAUUUUCACUCAAAUUUAAAUUCCUUAAUAUUUCUUAAUUAAUUCAUUUUUUUUAUUCGAACCUAAGUUUGAUAAUUUAAAUCCAUCAAUUUGAAAUUAAAACAUUGAAUAUAAAAUUUGUAUUUGAUCUAUAAAUAUAACAAAAAAAAAAAGGAGAAAAAAAAAAUGGAAGUUUGAAAAUUAUGUAUAUGCUCACAAAGAAGCCUUUUGCCCAUAAAAGAGUUUGUCGCCAAUAAAGAGUAAUAAAACAACUGCUAAUUAUAAGCUCCGUUUAGUAUUUCCCUUGAAAUAGAUAAUUUGGAGUUUUAGACUUUAAUUAUAAUAAAAACGGAAAUGUAUGUUUAAAUUCAAAAAAAUCAUUUUUAGUUAAAUUGACUUUAUAUGUUACUUCCAUACAUAUUAAACUGAUUUUAAAAUUAAAAUUAGAAUGAAUUUAAUAUGUAAAUAAAUAAUAGGAUUUGCUUUUGCAAACUUUAUUUUUACUUGCAAAGUUAAAAAUUUGAAACCUAAAGUCAUCGUGUGUGUACACAUAAGGGUGCCCUAAUUAAGACUUCAACAAUUCCUUAUGAAGCUUAUUAACACUUCAAAUUCAGUGAUUAGCUAUGAGGAAAAUGGGAUAGGAUUUCCAAUUGAAUAUUCAACUUUGGCGGAUCAAUUGAAAUGCAUGUAGGAAGCAAUAUAUACAGGGAAAAUCACAAAACCAAAAAGCAAAUGCAAAAAAUAGAAAAAAAAAACCCAACGGAUAUAGAUUAAAAGAUGGAGGAGAUACGACAGGCUGCUUCAGCUUAUUACAGAAACUUGGCAACUGCAGAUAAGCAGAUGGCAAUCAAUGGGUUCAAUUUAAUGGAUAAAACUGGAAAUGGGACAAUUAGCCUCAGGCGAUAUUCAGAAUACUUCAAACAAAGAGGGCUUAUAGAGCUUACUUAUCCUGAAUUUUUCAAAGCAUUGGAUUCGGAUGGAGAUGACCGGCUUGAUUUCGAUGAAUUUAUCACUGUCUACUACCUCUGCAUGAAUAAUAAACUGAUAUUCUGUGAAGAAUGUAUGGUGUUUCUAUCUGGAUCGUACGUGAGUUGCCUUCAAUGCUUCAAUAGUGGUUCUGGUAAACCCUAUAACGUUUGUUGUGCUUGUUAUCGCAAAAACAACAUUGAUCAUCACAAGGAUGCUACCUUUGUCGAUAAUCAAAAACUCAAGAACUCUGCAAAUAAUAAGGGCUCCGCAGAUCAAAGCUCUGGUAGUGAGGUAUGUAUAUAUAUAAUUCUGUAACUAUUACAAAUGUCAAACAACACAUAGCCAUGCAUAUCAUCACGAUUUUACUUGAAUUAUUUACCCAUUGCGACGGUUUUUCAGAAAAUAACAACGAGGGAUAAGCUUACAGCAGCUAUAUUAGGGGUUUCAGCGGUGAAUUUAGGAAUAAAUACUGCAAAGUUUGCAACGACUAGUGGACCAGAAUUAUGGGAAAAUGCAAAACACGCUUUUGAUCAUCCCCUUCAAAACCCUUCAGAAGCUGCUCAAAUACCCGCAUUCAACUUGUCCGACCAUAGAAGAAAUGCGGUUAAUUCCACUGUAUUCAACUCGUCUAGUCAUGGAACUAAUGCCGCUAAAACUGCAAAAUACUCGUCUGAUAAUGCUGAAGCUGCGUCCAGCCUUUUAGACCAGAUGAGUAAUGUUCUUGAAGGUGCAUCAUCGUGUUCUGUUAUGUAAAAUAUGAUUUAGCAGUUAAAACAAACAGAGCUGUAAAACCAUAUCUAGCAGCCCUAGAUAAAAAGAAAACUGUACAGCUUUUAGCAGUUGGGUACAAUUGGCUUAUUUUACUCUUAUAAUAACUCUCACGGGAAACAUCUCUUCAUUAAUAAGAAUGUUGAUGCUCAUGAAUUCACUAUUUGCCUUCUUGUUAUGACAUUUCACAAUCUGUUUGAUAUUUCUUAUAUUUUCCNNNNNNNNNNNNNNNNNNNNNNNNNNNNNNNNNNNNNNNNNNNNNNNNNNNNNNNNNNNNNNNNNNNNNNNNNNNNNNNNNNNNNNNNNNNNNNNNNNNNNNNNNNNNNNNNNNNNNNNNNNNNNNNNNNNNNNNNNNNNNNNNNNNNNNNNNNNNNNNNNNNNCAAGCGAAAGAGUUUUCUAUUGCGAUGAGUGUAGAGUCUUUCUUGAUAGAGUCUAUUUUACUUGUGUCCAGUGCUUCAAUGGCUCCGGUAAUACUUAUGAUCUCUGUGUUUCUUGCUAUCGCGAUAAGAAUAUCAUUAAUCAUCACAAGGAUGCUGUGUUUCUCGAUAAUUACACGAUGCUGCAAGCCAAAAGGAAUCAGAAUAAUGCAUCAGCAAGUAAGGUAAAAUAUUUUGAAAAUUCAGAUAUAAUCUUGAAAUUCAUAUUUUAAAGUAUUUGACUUUCCUGGAAAUAAUUAAAUCUGUAUUAUGAUGUUUAUCUUUUACCAGGGAAACCAAGGAGUUAAGGAGACCGUUGAACUGGCAAAGUUUGGUAUUGAAACUACGUCUAAUGUUGUUAACUUAUGUAACCAAAUGUAAAUUUGCUCAAAAGAAAUCUUCUGGAUUGUUGUGUUUUUUCUUUGUAAACCCAUCUUCACUCAAAUAAUACAUAAAGAUUGUAUUUGUGUAGCUUAUUAUUAUGUAUAUAUUCAAUUUCCAAGUACUUUUCCUGGAAUGGGAUAGAGGAAUAACCAUUGAAGACUUGUGUAAAGGUCUACAGGUCUAUGAAACAACUUGUACAUAAUUUACGACUCUGCGCUUUUCUCAUUGACCUUGGACUUGGUAAGUCGUCUCCUGUUAUCUUUUUCUCAAUUUGUGAUUUACUUCAUAAGAAAGAAAGACUUAGACGACGCCUAUGAUGGUCUCACUGUACUACAGAUUCGUGGAAGAACGUGUUCAUUUGUGAGAAAAAUAAUUGGUUUUCCAAAAGAAUCGGUUACAGUGGCUCAUUUUUUAUAUAGGAAAUUCUCUUUACCAUUGCGUAGAGGAUUCUGUGAUUACAUUUGUAAUUCUUUUCCACAUAAAUGAAAAAUCAACUUUUAUUCUUUUUGACUUUGUCAUGAAAAUGUUUUGCAUGUUAAAUUUAUCUGAUCUGUAACUGUUUUUCCAUGAAUUGUGGUGAAAUAUUCAAUAUGAAAAACUCAUUUCCAUAUUCUAAUCUUAUCAUUUUAAUUUUAUCAUUUGGAUAUUCUAAUUAAAUCAAGUUAAUUCUCUUCUCAAAAUAAAAAAAUCAAGUUAAUUGUAAUUAAUAAGAUAAUUGAAAUAGUUUACAUAUACGACAUAUUACUGUUUACUUAAUAUUCUAAAACUUGAUUGUCAAUAUUUCCGGAAACCAUUGUCGUUCAAGAAACAUAAAUGGCUUUUUUAAAAAACUGUUCGGUAUCAUAACAUUUGAAUUAAUUUUUUAGAGGGUAUAGUAGUAUUGCGUGAAAAGUUAACUCAUAUAACGUCUAACUUUUAGCGUUUCAUAGAAAGCUAAUCAAACAGUUAACGGUUAAACGUUAUUAAAACAGCUAAUUUUGCCGAUCAAACCCUAAGUUUAAUGAACAAUUUAUAAUUUUCUUACUUUGACUUUCAUUUAAUCAAAUAUUUGAAAUGUUUUAAGACCAGAUGUAUUUCUUAAUACACAAUGUGGAUUUGUUUUAGUAAUUAAUUGAUUUCAAGUUUGUAAAAUUAAGGGUUGAGAUAUUUGGCAAUAAAAAAUUUUAAGCAAAUGAAUAUAAAAAAAAGAAAAUUUUUAAAUAAAAGUGGCACUUGUAAUGCAUAUAUUAAAGAAAACAUUUUGAAAUAAUAAAAAAAAAACUGAUAAGUAUUUUUAUGAAUUUAAAAAUAGCAGAAAAAAUGAAUAGAAACCCAAAUAUGUAAAAUUUAGAUACCAAUCUCAUGAAAGAUUUCAAAAAAAAAAAAAAAAAAAACUAAAUUUUUUGAAUAGAUGAUGUAAAAUUGAAAAUAUGUAUUAAAUUAACAAAAUAUUAAUAAAAAAAUAUAUACUAAACUUAAAUGACUUGGUCAAUUUUUGAAUUUGAAUGAGCCUGUGGUAGAAAUGGCCUAAAUAUGAAUUUGUUAUUUACCCAAAGUAACAAUUCAAACAGUCAAAUUUGGCAAAGACAUGAAGAAGUGUUACAGUAAAAAUGUAAUGCAACAAAUCCCACAUUGGUAAGAUGAAUACCGUGUCACAUGAACCUUUCUACAUAACAAGCUCAAAUCGAUAUCUUAAUUACGCACCCAUGCGGUAAGCACAUAGCGAACAAUUUUCUUUCGCCUUUUACUAAAGAAUACCGUGUGCCUGCCGCUCUAUUGUGGCAUACGCUUAUUUUUGGAGGGGUUGAUCUCACUGGAUAUCAGCCCCCAACCAAACCUAGUCCAAAUUAUCCCACUUAGGCCCAAUUUUUCGGCCCAUUAAAAGAUUCCAGCCCAAACCUAUGCUAGUGAUUGAUGUUUACUUGUACUUGCACAACAAUGAAACGUAAAAUAGGCAAAAUCAAUAGAGAAGUUCCAUAAAAUAGCUAGGAGCUUAAAACACCCCUGAAAUCAGAUUUACUAUAAUACCAUUAGGUUGUAAAGAUAUAUGGAAUAAUUUUAAUUGAGACUUGAUCACUAUUAGGGGUCAUUUUCUUCAAUUAAAUUUGUAAUUUAAUUUCAUUUGAAUUUGAAUUUAUUUAAUUUCAUAUGAAUUUGAAUUAAUUAUUAAAACCCAUCACUAUUUAAUUAGUUUUUUUUCUUCUUAAUUUUAAAUUCCAAGUGGACGAAACAAGGGAAAAGUCGUCCAUGACUAUACCCACUGUCUAAUUUCUUUUCCUUUUAAUUACUUUUCAAAUGAAUAUAUAUAUAUAUAUAUUUUUUUUUGAAAGAGUUCAAAUGAAUAUAUUUAUAUUCAUAAAAAUCUCUAAUUAGAAUCUUUUUGUCCUUGACGAAAAGGCCAAAUCAACUUGUGGAAAAUCUUGAAGACAUAAGCUGUUGGCGAUUGCAAUUAGCAGCCAUUUAACAAUUUCUUUCCAGUUGAGUAUUCAAUGUAUUUGAAUAUAUAUAUAUUUUUUACUCUAUAUAGUAAUAUGAUAUCAUAAGUUAGUGUUCGUAUCUUCGGCCAAAUUUAAUUUUUUAAUUUAUUAAAAAAAUUAUGUAAGAGGUUCUUCCAAGAAAAUACCUAAUAUUGAUGCAGGAGUAGGAAGUUUCCAUCCGCUUUGAUGGAACUGAACUGAGGAAGCAUUAUAUAAGCGCAAAUCACAGAACCGAAAAGCACAAGCAAAAGCGAAAAAAAAAAAGAAUUAGAAAAACGCAGUACCUACAAUUAAGAUGGAGAAGAUACGACUGGAUGCUUCAGCUUAUUACAGAAACUUGCCACCUGCAGAAAAGCAAAGGGUAAAGAUUGGGUUCAGUGCUUUGGAUAAAACUGGAAGUGGAAAAGUGAGCCUCAAGCAAUACUCGGAAUAUUUUAAACAAAGGGGGCUUGUAGAGCUUACUUAUCCCUAUUUGUUCAAAGCAUUGGAUACAAAUGGAGAUGGCAGACUCGAUUUCAAUGAAUAUAUCACUGUCUACUACCUCUGCAUGAACAAUAAGAUGAUAUUUUGUGAAGAAUGCGGGGUCUUUC